rnacentral:rRNA from 1 species
AGACGGAGGGUGCAAGCGUUAAUCGGAAUUACUGGGCGUAAAGCGCUCGUAGGCGGCCUGUUAAGUCGGAUGUGAAAGCCCCGGGCUCAACCUGGGAACUGCAUUCGAAACUGGCAGGCUAGAGUAUAGUAGAGGCAAGUGGAAUUCCGGGUGUAGCGGUGAAAUGCGUAGAUAUCCGGAGGAACAUCAGUGGCGAAGGCGACUUGCUGGACUAAUACUGACGCUGAGGAGCGAAAGCGUGGGGAACAAACGGGAUUAGAAACCCCAGUAGUCC